rnacentral:piRNA from 1 species
UGGGAUGUCACCCUGAGAAUCUUUGUUGC